AGGCUAUUAGCUUAGUUGGUUAUAGCACACCCCUGAUAAGGGUGAGGUCUCUAGUUCAAAUCUAGAAUAGCCUA
rnacentral:tRNA from 2 species